GUGGGGAAUUUUGGACAAUGGGCGAAAGCCUGAUCCAGCCAUGCCGCGUGCAGGAUGAAGGCCUUCGGGUUGUAAACUGCUUUUGUACGGAACGAAAAGACUCCUUCUAAUAAAGGGGGUCCAUGACGGUACCGUAAGAAUAAGCACCGGCUAACUACGUGCCAGCAGCCGCGGUAAUACGUAGGGUGCAAGCGGUAAUCGGAAUUACUGGGCGUAAAGCGUGCGCAGGCGGUUAUAUAAGACAGAUGUGAAAUCCCCGGGCUCAACCUGGGAACUGCAUUUGUGACUGUAUAGCUAGAGUACGGUAGAGGGGGAUGGAAUUCCGCGUGUAGCAGUGAAAUGCGUAGAUAUGCGGAGGAACACCGAUGGCGAAGGCAAUCCCCUGGACCUGUACUGACGCUCAUGCACGAAAGCGUGGGGAGCAAACAGGAUUAGAAACCCUUGUAGUCC
rnacentral:rRNA from 1 species